rnacentral:snRNA from 9 species
AUACUUAUCUGGCGUAGAGACACCGUGAUCAUGCAGGCGGUUCCCCCAGGGUGCGGCUGCUCCAAUGCACUGCGGAGUGGUUGGUGGUUGACCCUUGCGGUUAUUUUUAUUUUAUAUAAGUUUCUUCUACUGUGUGUGACUUGCACACACAGUUUUUUUUUAAAGUAACUUUAUUGUGUGUUAUAUUUG